CAGUUCUAGCGUUAUUUAACAGCAAAAAUGCACAGACAUCUUCCGAUGAUUGAUAGGCCAAUCGGAAAAACAAGCAAUGUUAUCGGACGAUCACGCCACAACAGUUCACUAUAAACUGCCGAAGCGAGUAAUGUACUCGUAUAUAAAGGUAUCAGAGAUCUCGAUUACGGCAUAAUACGUUUUAUUGUGAAUAUUUACUUUGUCUUUACUUCUAUUCCAAAAAAACCUACCAAAAUCCAAAAUGGGCGCUGAAAAGGUAUCCAUGAACAUCGUUGUCGUCGGACAAGUCGAAUCUGCCAAGGUCAUUAAGACUGUCGCCAAAGCCGUACCAAAAAUGGGCUCAUUAAUGAACUUUUAACUCAUGCAAUCCAUCAAUGGCCUACUCAAAAACGCCAUAGCUCAAACAAUGUAUUUAUACGUAUAUAAUAUGUAUUAUAACAUUGCCAAAUAUAUCAGUUUUUACCGUUA